GACGAACGCUGGCGGCGUGCUUAACACAUGCAAGUCGAACGAAGUGGCGAACGGGUGAGUAACGCGUAAUCAACCUGCCCUUCCGAGGGGGACAACAGUUGGAAACGACUGCUAAUACCGCAUACUGAAGGAGGUGAUUGCGUCUGAUUAGCUAGUUGGCGGGGUAACGGCCCACCACGGCGAUGAUAAGUAGCCGGGCUGGGAGGAUGAACGGCCACAGUGGGACUGAGACACGGCCCAGACUCCUACGGGAGGCAGCAGUGGGGAAUCUUCCGCAAUGGACGAAAGUCUGACGGAGCAACGCCGCGUGAGUGAUGACGGCCUUCGGGUUGUAAAGCUCUGUUAAGCGGGACGCGGUACCGGAAUAGAAAGCCACGGCUAACUACGUGCCAGCAGCCGCGGUAAUAC
rnacentral:rRNA from 1 species